rnacentral:rRNA from 1 species
AUUGAACGCUGGCGGCAUGCUUUACACAUGCAAGUCGAACGGCAGCACGGACUUCGGUCUGGUGGCGAGUGGCGAACGGGUGAGUAAUACAUCGGAACGUACCGCGUAGUGGGGGACAACAAGUCGAAAGAUUUGCUAAUACCGCAUACACUCUGAGGAGAAAAGCAGGGGACCUUCGGGCCUUGUGCUAUGCGAGCGGCCGAUGGCUGAUUAGCUAGUUGGUGGGGUAAAGGCCUACCAAGGCAACGAUCAGUAGCGGGUCUUAGUGGACGAUCCGCCACAAUGGAACUGAGACACGGUCCAGACUCCUACGGGAGGCAGCAGUGGGGAAUCUUGGACAAUGGGCGCAAGCCUGAUCCAGCAAUGCCGCGUGCGUGAAGAAGGCCUUCGGGUUGUAAAGCGCUUUUGUCAGGGAGCAAAGACUGAUGGCUAAUAUCCAUCGGAGUUGAGAGUACCUGAAGAAUAAGGACCGGCUAACUACGUGCCAGCCGCCGCGGUAAAAC